CCAAGGAUAAGGGAGGAUAACAUAUGGAUGAGAAACUAUAAACCAAAAGAAAUAGAGGAGCAACGGGGAACAAGUGCAAACACAUUCAAACACACCCAAAACCUCUAAUUCAAUCCUCUUCUUGACUCCAUUAUUCACAAAACAAUUUUUUUUUAUUUUUCUCAUUUUUCUGUAUUUUUUUUUCUUUUUUUUUUCAUCUUGUCUCUUUUCUUUUCUCUCUUUUCAGAACACAACUCUAAGAGACAAGAUACACAACAUAUUUACAAAAC
rnacentral:lncRNA from 1 species